rnacentral:lncRNA from 1 species
CUUAGACAAACCUUAACGACAUCCAAUAUGAAAUCUUUUGCGUUAUUUAUCGUCCUUUUUGCCUUCAUCGCUCUAAGUUUAGCUGGUGGACAUGACGAUGAUUACUACAGAAGUUCUUAUGAUGACUCCAAAAAGGUGGUCUACGUAGAAAAAGAAUCCAGAUACAAUAGACCCAGUUACAAAAUUAUAGAGAAAGAACCAGAAUACAAGAAAGUAGUUUACAAAUAUGAGAAACCAGAUGAGAAGAAGGUUCAAGUUAAUGUUAAAGUGAUUAAACAAAAAGAACACGAUGAUAAUGUUUUGUACAAAUACGUUGAGAAGAAGUACCAUCAUUAAUAAUUUUCUGGAUUAAAUAGGUUCAACAUUUUUUUCAAUAUAUUGAGUAAUUUUCAUAUUUUGUAAACUAUAGAGUGUUAUAAAUUUGAUACUUUAAUUUUGUUUUAUAUCCUAAUAAAAAUAUGUUUUGUUUAUAUCCAAGUCAA